rnacentral:rRNA from 1 species
AACGCUAGCUACAGGCUUAACACAUGCAAGUCGAGGGGCAUCAGGAAGAAAGCUUGCUUUCUUUGCUGGCGACCGGCGCACGGGUGAGUAACACGUAUCCAACCUGCCCUUUACUCGGGGAUAGCCUUUCGAAAGAAAGAUUAAUACCCGAUAGCAUAAUGAUUCCGCAUGGUUUCAUUAUUAAAGGAUUCCGGUAAAGGAUGGGGAUGCGUUCCAUUAGGUUGUUGGUGAGGUAACGGCCCACCAAGCCUUCGAUGGAUAGGGGUUCUGAGAGGAAGGUCCCCCACAUUGGAACUGAGACACGGUCCAAACUCCUACGGGAGGCAGCAGUGAGGAAUAUUGGUCAAUGGGCGCUAGCCUGAACCAGCCAAGUAGCGUGAAGGAUGAAGGCUCUAUGGGUCGUAAACUUCUUUUAUAUAAGAAUAAAGUGCAGUAUGUAUACUGUUUUGUAUGUAUUAUAUGAAUAAGGAUCGGCUAACUCCGUGCCAGCAGCCGCGGUAAUACGGAGGAUCCGAGCGUUAUCCGGAUUUAUUGGGUUUAAAGGGAGCGUAGGUGGACUGGUAAGUCAGUUGUGAAAGUUUGCGGCUCAACCGUAAAAUUGCAGUUGAUACUGUCAGUCUUGAGUACAGUAGAGGUGGGCGGAAUUCGUGGUGUAGCGGUGAAAUGCUUAGAUAUCACGAAGAACUCCGAUUGCGAAGGCAGCUCACUGGACUGCAACUGACACUGAUGCUCGAAAGUGUGGGUAUCAAACAGGAUUAGAUACCCUGGUAGUCCACACAGUAAACGAUGAAUACUCGCUGUUUGCGAUAUACAGUAAGCGGCCAAGCGAAAGCAUUAAGUAUUCCACCUGGGGAGUACGCCGGCAACGGUGAAACUCAAAGGAAUUGACGGGGGCCCGCACAAGCGGAGGAACAUGUGGUUUAAUUCGAUGAUACGCGAGGAACCUUACCCGGGCUUAAAUUGCAGUGGAAUGAUGUGGAAACAUGUCAGUGAGCAAUCACCGCUGUGAAGGUGCUGCAUGGUUGUCGUCAGCUCGUGCCGUGAGGUGUCGGCUUAAGUGCCAUAACGAGCGCAACCCUUAUCUUUAGUUACUAACAGGUUAUGCUGAGGACUCUGGAGAGACUGCCGUCGUAAGAUGUGAGGAAGGUGGGGAUGACGUCAAAUCAGCACGGCCCUUACGUCCGGGGCUACACACGUGUUACAAUGGGGGGUACAGAAGGCAGCUAGCGGGUGACCGUAUGCUAAUCCCAAAAGCCUCUCUCAGUUCGGAUCGAAGUCUGCAACCCGACUUCGUGAAGCUGGAUUCGCUAGUAAUCGCGCAUCAGCCACGGCGCGGUGAAUACGUUCCCGGGCCUUGUACACACCGCCCGUCAAGCCAUGAAAGCCGGGGGUACCUGAAGUACGUAACCGCAAGGAGCGUCCUAGGGUAAAACUGGUAAUUGGGGCUAAG